CCCCCUCCUCUCCCCACCAUCCUCGUCAGGCAGAGGCCAGGGUGCAGGGACCACCGGAGCAAAGGCCCAGGGAAAUGAAUGGGUGUCAUUCUGGUCCUGACCCGAGGCACAGCCAGGAAGGUCCCUGUGGGGAAAAGAAAGAGAUAUCAGACUGUUACUGUGUCUAUGUAGAAAGAAGUAGACGUAAGAGGCUCCAUUUUGUUGUGUAGUAAGAAAAAUUCUUUUGCCUUGAGAUGCCGUUAAUCUGUAACCCUAGCCCCAACCCUGUGCUCACAGAAACAUGUACUGUGUCGACUCAAGGUUUAAUGGAUUCAGGGCUGUGCAGGAUGUGCUUUGUUAAACAAAUGCUUGAAGGCAGCAUGCUUGUUAAGAGUCAUCACCACUCCCUAAUCUCAAGUAAGCAGGGACACAAAACACUGCAGAAGGCCGCAGGGACCUCUGCCUAGGAAAGCCAGGUAUCGUCCAAGGUUUCUCCCCAGGUGACAGUCUGAAAUAUGGCCUCGUGGGAAGGGAAAGACCUGACCGUCCCCCAGCCCGACACCUGUAAAGGGUCUGUGCUGAGGAGGAUUAGUAAAAGAGGAAGGCCUCUUUGCAGUUGAGAUAAGAGGAAGGCAUCUCUCUCCUGAUCGUCCCUGGGCAAAGGAAUGUCUCAGUGUUGAUUGUAUAUUCCAUCUGCUGAGAUAGGAGAAAACUGCCUUAGGGCUGGAGAUGGGACAUGCUGGUGGCAAUACUGCUCUUUAAUGCAUUGAGAUGUUUAUGUAUAUGCACAUCAAAGCAUAGCACCUUUUUCUUAACCUUGUUUAUGACACAGAGACAUUUGUUCACGUGUUUUCCUGCUGACCCUCUCCCCACUAUUACCCUAUUGUCCUGCCACAUCCCCCUCUCUGAGAUGGUAGAGAUAAUGAUCAAUAAAUACUAGGGAACUCAGAGACUGGUGCCAGCGUGGGGCCUCCGUAUGCUGAGCGCAGGUCCCCUGGGCCCACUUUUCUUUCUCUAUACUUUGUCUCUGUGUCUCUUUCUUUUCUCAGUCUCUUGUCCCAGCUGAUGGGAAACACCCACAGGUGUGGAGGGGCAGGCCACCCCUUCAGGUCCCUGAAUGUCCUUCCUCAGGAAAUGAUGGGGGAAGGGGUGAUGAGAAUGAAGGAGACGAUUUAAGUCCCUCACCCCCCGAGGUAGUCCUGGGCUGAGCCCCAUGGGACCUAGAGAACCAGGGUGUACCCCACCAGCGUGUCGGGUCCAGGAAGCCUCGUGGCCAGCUCCCACUUCUCUUCCUGCUGUGCAACCCAGAGCAAGGCCUGCCCCUCCAGCUUCAGUCUUCUCCCCUGCAAAUGGGGCCACGGCCUUUCCUCUCAGGCCAAUAUAAGGAUUGAGGCCGGGUGCAGUGGCUACCCCUGUAAUCCUAGCACUUUGGGAGACUGAGAUGGGGGGACUGCUUGAAGUCAGGAGUUAAGACCAGCCUGGUCAACAUAGUGAGACCCCAUCUCUAUUGGUUUAAAUUUUUUUUAAAAAAAUUAAAUAAAUAAAAUAAGGAUUGAAGAGUGACUUGUACACCAGUUGAGCCCACCUCCAUCUCACCCUUGCAGAGCCCCAGAGACACAGCCCUCCAGAGCUCAGACCCAGUGGGACUUGACUCCACAGGCAUAAAACCCUGUUUGUCUAUGGGCCCUUUGGAAUCACCAGGUUUUCGGGGCUCCUGAAGGAUAGCCCCGACCUGGCCUCACCUGGCCCCUGGCCCCAGUGCCCCUGGUGAUAUCCAGG
rnacentral:lncRNA from 1 species